CCCUUAGAUGUCCGGGGCCGCACGCGCGCUACACUGAAGGAAUCAGCGUGGCUUUCUCCCUGACCCGAAAGGGUUGGGAAACCCGUUGAAUCUCCUUCGUGAUAGGGAUUGGGGCUUGAAAUUGUUCCCCAUGAACGAGGAAUUCCCAGUAAGCGCGAGUCAUAAGCUCGCGUUGAUUACGUCCCUGCCCUUUGUACACACCGCCCGUCGCUACUACCGAUUGAAUGGUUUAGUGAGAAUUUUGGACUGGAACUCCCUUGCUCAGCAAUGGGCGAGGGGGAGUCCGGGAAGCUAUUCGAACUGUAUCAUUUAGAGGAAGUAAAAGUCGUAACA
rnacentral:rRNA from 1 species